CAUGAUUGUUUUGAACAAAUGAAAAUGGAAACUACACACCUACCAACUGUCUAUGAAGCUGCAUUACUCAAUCCGGACCAAACACUAUUUGUGGAUGGGUCAAGAUUUGCUGAUGAACAGGGACAAUAUCACACUGGGUAUGCAGUCACCACAGAAUGCCAAGUAUUACAAGCAGCUGCCCUACAACCAACUAAGUCUGCUCAAGAAGCUGAAUUGACAGCCCUAACUGCGGCCUGCAAAUUGUCUGAAGGUUUACGUGUCAACAUUUACACGGAUUCAAGAUAUGCCCUGGGAGUAGCACAUGACUUUGGCUUAAUUUGGAAGACCAGAGGAUUUCUUACGGCCACUGGUACCCCAGUAAAACAUGGGGCAGCCAUUGCAGAGCUGAUGGAUGCAUUGGAACUUCCAGCAGAGGUGGCAGUACUGAAAGUAAAAGCCCAUGGAAGACUAGACAC